AGGAGGCGGGAACAAAGUUGCCGCGCACGGGCGUGCUCGCUCCCGCCAAGGGACGGCCGUCUGGCCCGGAAGUGGGGGAACGUAGAGACGGCUCCACUUCCGAUGGGGGUGGGACUCUGUGAAGAAGAGUUAAAGAAAGGAGAGGAUUCGUGCGCCGCCCACUGCUGGCGCUGGAGACUCUCGGAGCGACGGCACGCCGGUCGUGCUUGUUGCUUGCGUCCAGCGCGCAGCAGCGGCUCUGGAUCUUCGCAGGGGCCGGACCGCCUGCCUGUUGACAGGUCACGGCGAGAGCAAGAAUCUGAAGACUCAGGAAUAAUGCCGUUAAUGAUCUUCUGGGCUGGGUAAUCACCCCGUCGUCUCCCCUCAGCCAAGCCCGGAGGGAGGUUGGAACAGCUGCGAGAGAGGAAGAGAGGGCACCCUGGAAGAGAGGGCGGAGAUGGCGUUAGCUUAAACUAUCUCUUGUACACCCAAGUUCCAGGCCCCAUCUUGACCUAAAAACACAGUUGGAAAUCCCAAUCUGGCGCUUCCAUAACACUGAAGUUUAAAAAAAAAAAAAAGUCAAUACGAGGAAUAAUGAAACGUCGAAAGGAACUCCUGGAAACCCCAGAAUUUUUACCGGCGGCCUUGAAGUCAAAACAUCUUGCUCAAAUGAGAGCUGCCCUUUUGGCACUUCUCCCUCUUUCACCUUAACUAUCCAAACCUGUGGGGCUGCAAAGCAUAACCAUUCGGUGACCUCACGUCUCAUUUCUUGCAUUACUAGGUUAGCCUUUCAGUUACAGACUGGGCACUUGGGACAAUUAUCAUAGAUUAAAACGUAAAUGGCUUAUUGGUUUGGGGUUUUUUUUAAUUUUAAUUGGAUUAUAGUUGAUUUACAAUGUUGUGUUUCAGGUGUACGCGAAGUGAAUCAGUUAUACAUAUGCAUAUACCCACUCUUUUUUAGAUUCCUUUCCCACAUAGGCCAUUACAGAGUAUUGAGUAGGGUUCCCUGUGCUACACAGCAGGUCCUUAUUAGUGGCUUAUGGGGUUUUAAUAUGGUUGCAAAGAGAAGCUGAGCAAUGCAUUCAAUGGCUACAUGUAGUCACCCGUUUUCAAGUUUAUUUGUUCAGUGCAUCAGUUGGUUCUUAGUUCUUAAACACUUGGUAGCCAUCCAUCAUGCAUGCCUUAGUGUAAAUAAUUUUAAUUGACUUGACAUCCACUAACACUGUCUCAGUCUGGACUCACCUAAGCUAAAAUGAGACUUCACUGAAAGAACACAAAGGGUGUUUACUGAAGAAUAAAGGAGGAGGCAAAGGAGUAGGUAACCUUGAAGGCAGUUCAUUUCCCAGGAGGAUAGGCCCCGGUUGGGCCACACAGUGGGACCUGCCACGCAGCCAGAAGGAUGUGAUAAGUGCACUGGGAAACUGAAUAGAAAAGUAAGGGACAAGGUGCCUAAAAACGUUUCUCCUUGGCAGUAUUGCUUCCUGAAGUUCCUACAGCCUAAACCAGUUAGCGAGUGGCUUUUUCCAAAAAAAUACGAUCAACCUGCCCCAUCAUCCUACUUUGAAAAGCCAGGAGUAACAGAAUAAGGAGGGCAAAAUGGAUUUAUCUAGCAGUUCGUCACACGUGACCAACUCCAGUUUGAGCAGCCGUCUUGUGACUACAAAGGAACAAGCACAUGUUAAGGAUGGCUAGGUGAAGGGAAGAGAGAAGGACCUGGCUCUCUGAGGACAUUGUGGAUCUACCAAAUCAACCCUGGACUGAAAAAGACAUAUAAAGCUGGGUUUUGAAAUUCAGUCCUCGGAUGAAAUCUCAAGGGGACAUGUGACAGGGUGGAAAGAGUAAGAGGUUGAGUCAGAGGGACUCUGGCUAUAGCAUUUAGAUUCUAAUGCAGCAAGUCCGGGGCUGGACCCAAGGAGUCUGGAUGUAAGCAGCAUCCCAGGGGAUCCUGAUGCAGUUGGUCCCUGGAGAAAUACGGACGCUCCGGAGGGCGUCGUGCUGGUCUCUGGCACACAGUGGCGGGUCCUGGAUUCCUGCAGCCAGAAAUCACCGGGGACUGUGAACCCACUUGCCUGCUGUGGACACCUCCUACAAGCCUGAUUCGGAACUUGGAACCCUGGGCUGAUGACCGCGGAGAGCCCCUAUUCCACUGUCUUAGUUUACACAGGGGGAACUGAGGCUCAGAGUCGCACAGGGAGCUGUUCCGAAUUACAAAUCAGGUUAGUCUUGCAGUGAAACUCCGUUUUUCUAACCCGUGAAUUAACCCUCGAGUCCCCAACAGGAAUGGGGCUCGGUCCACGGAUGGUCUAAAGCCUAAACAAGGAUAAGAAAGGGACUGAGAUCCUGGAAGUGGAGUUCAGAGUCCAAGAGGGCAGCCUCGUGCAGAGGGUAUGCGGGAGUCGACUUUGAGCAAGACUACUCUUCUGCAAAAUCCCGUGUAGUGCUGCCACCCUGUGGUCAACUAGGAAAUUGAACUCAAACUUUGCCAUAAUGCUACCUUUUCCCUUAAAUGAUAAUGUUUUGUAAAAGAGCUGGCAUUUGCUAUAUUUCUCUUUUUUCCUAAUGCAUUUGCUGGGUAUUUCCAAGCUCCGUGAUCAUUAGAGAAAUACUAAGGGACAAAUAGGAAGAGACAUGACAAUUUCACAACUGAUUACUUUUUUUUUUUUUUUUAAUCUUUUGGCCCCGUGGCAUGUGGGAUCUUAGUUCCACUGACCAGGGAUCGAACCCGAGCCCCCUGCAUUGGCAGCACGGAGUCUUAACCACUGGACUGCCAGGGAAGUCCACAACCGAUUACUUAGAAAUUAAAUUAAAAACUUCCAUUUUUUCUAGACUCAGCCUUUGUGAGUGUAAAAGAUCUGUGGAUCUGGAAUAUUUUAUA